rnacentral:rRNA from 1 species
UACGGAGGAUGCAAGCGUUAUCCGGAUUUAUUGGGUUUAAGGGGUGCGUAGGCGGGUUAUUAAGUCAGUGGUGAAAUCUUUCGGCUUAACUGGAAAAUUGCCAUUGAUACUGAUAAUCUUGAAUGCAGUUGAGGUAGGCGGAAUGUGUAAUGUAGCGGUGAAAUGCUUAGAUAUUACACAGAACACCGAUUGCGAAGGCAGCUUGCUAGACUGUAAUUGACGCUGACGCACGAAAGCGUGGGGAUCAAACGGG